rnacentral:lncRNA from 1 species
GUUUUCAACCGAAACUUUGACGGCUUAAUUCCUCCUCCCGGUUACAGCGAUUAUACGUUGAUCGUCCUUUACCGUAUCUCAUUGGGUCAAAGCUGUUCAUGGAACAAGAAGAUGUAGGUCUUGGAGAGCUGUCCAGUGAAGAAGGCUCUGUAGGCAGUGAUCGUGGCAGUAUUGUGGACAGUGAGGAAGAGAAAGAAGAAGAGGAGUCAGAUGAAGAUUUUGCCAAUCAUAGUGACAAUGAUCAAAACUGGCACACGACACAAAUGAGUGAUGAAGAAGAGGAUGAUGAUGGUUGUGACCUUUUUGCUGACUCCGAGAAGAAGGAGGAAGAUAUUGAGGACAUUGAAGAAAGUACUAGACCUAAAAGAAGCAGACGUACGUCAUUUGCUAAUGAGCUGGCUGCCCGCAUCAAGGGUGACGCCGUGGGCCGAGUGGACGAGGAGCCAACAACCUUAUCCUCAGGAGAAGCAAAACCUCGGAAGACACUGAAAGAGAAGAAGGAAAGGAGAACUUCAGACGGUGGGCCUUUUCCAUCAAUUCUAUUAAUUUAGGAGACUUUUGACUCAGAUGAAGAGGAUAACUUAUUCGCACCCCCUAAGCUGACCGAUGAGGACUUCUCACCAUUUGGCUCUCGAGGUGGCCUGUUUAGUGGGGGCAAGGGGCUCUUUGAUGAUGAGGAUGAGGAGGUGAGUCCAUGGUACCCAGCGACACUCCCUGCAGCUGUAUCGGGUUCACAAGGAAGAAAUAUGCUUUGUUUCUUUAGUGGGAGAAAACAGCUUCUCAGUUGGAAGUUGUUUCUAUUUUCAGAUUUUGGGACAUUUUGAACUAAGAAUCUCAGAGUGAGAAAUACCGUAUUCUUCUAUCCCUGUCUCUUAUACACAUCUAGAUGUGUAUAAGAGACAGGGUUCACACUGGCUCACAGCUGUGGCUGUCUUGUCCCUCUGCCCACAGGAGACACAGAUGUGUUUGGUGCUGUCUCCAUUUCAUCAUUGAAGGAGCCCCAAAAGCCUGAGCAGCCCAUUCCAAGAAAAAGCCCAUACCUUCCACCUCCCACUGGCCUCUUUGAUGAUGAUGGUGAUGACGACUUUUUCUCAGCACCCUGCAGCAAAUCUUCCAAGACGGGUACCUGUUUCUGCCUCUGUUUCUGGUACUUCAGCCAGAAAAAAAAAUGUUGCCUAUAAAGGGACNNNNNNNNNNNNNNNNNNNNNNNNNNNNNNNNNNNNNNNNNNNNNNNNNNNNNNNNNNNNNNNNNNNNNNNNNNNNNNNNNNNNNNNNNNNNNNNNNNNNGAAAACAGCUUCUCAGUUGGAAGUUGUUUCUAUUUUCAGAUUUUGGGACAUUUUGAACUAAGAAUCUCAGAGUGAGAAAUACUGUAUUCUUCUAUCCUUUGUUAGGUGAGGAGAAGAUGUGCACUUGUUAGUGUGAAUAAUUUACUAGGUGAUUGUUUCUUCUCUUUCAUCUUUGUAUUUCAUUCCUGGACAGACCUCCCAAAGUGCUGGGAUUACAGGUGUGAGUCACCACUGUCUCUUAUACACAUCUAGAUGUGUAUAAGAGACAGCCCCUAGUUUGUAUCUCUUAUAAUACCAGAUCCCUUCUCCAGCAUUCCUGUCAUUGAGCUGUUGUGUCUGUACUUACAUAGCUAUGGUGCCUGGGAGGCCUCUUUUAUGAACCAAUCUUUUCUGCUCUGGAAGCUAAUUACUAUUAUUUUCCUUAUAGAGAGCUGAAAUCUUUUUCCCUAUAAUUUUUGUUCACAAUUUCUAGUUCUGACCUUUGGAAUUAUAACGUUUUAAUCAUACUUUCUUCCAGCAGACCUUAGUCAAUUACAUGAGCAGCAUGUUGUGUGCUGGCCAUUUAGUUCCCACCUUCUCUUCUCUCCGCCAAAAAGCUCAGGUGGCCUUGGUCUUUCCUCCUGUGAUGGGGUUUUCAGCCCCUUGGCUACUUUGACAUUCUCCUUUCUUUUCCUCUUAAAUGUAAGUCCUGUGUCCCUGAAGUCAUUCCUGUAAAUCAUUUGUUUUUUAUGUGCAGAUGAAUCUCCCAGGGGCUUUUGUCAAAAUGAAGAUUCCAAUUCAGUAGGUCUAGGG